rnacentral:rRNA from 1 species
GACGAACUGGUCCUAACGUUGUUCGGAAUCACUGGGCUUAAAGGGGCGCGAGUAGGCGGUCCGGACAAGUCGGGGGUGAAAUCCUGGCAGCUUAACUGCAGAAGUGCCUUCGAUACUGUCGGUCUUGAGGGAGAUAGGGGUGUGCGGAACUUCCAGUGGAGCGGUGAAAUGCGUUGAUAUUAGGAAGGAACGCCGGAGGCGAAAGCGGGCGCAC